rnacentral:lncRNA from 1 species
GAGAGUGGGAAUCUCUAUUCCGAAAAAGUGCAGGUGCUAAUCCGGAAAGGAGGGAAUGCGAGGAUCACUGGGAGAUCGCACGCGGGCUCGGAUGUUUGGGUGCAAAUGCGCUCGAUCAGAUCAUGGCAGGAUUGGGCCCGCGCGGUUUGGAGCCAUGAUGCAUCCCUCUAAACCCUACCAAAUGCGCAUUUAAACUUUAAUUUAUACUAACAUGUGCCAAACAAAAAUAUAAUAUUAACUUAGUGAUUUUAUCGUUAUAUGUUAGCAGUAAUACUAAU